rnacentral:rRNA from 1 species
CGGAACGUGCCCAAUCGUGGGGGAUAACGCAGCGAAAGCUGUGCUAAUACCGCAUACGAUCUACGGAUGAAAGCAGGGGACCGCAGGGCCUUGCGCGAAUGGAGCGGCCGAUGGCAGAUUAGGUAGUUGGUGAGGUAAAGGCUCACCAAGCCUUCGAUCUGUAGCUGGUCUGAGAGGACGACCAGCCACACUGGGACUGAGACACGGCCCAGACUCCUACGGGAGGCAGCAGUGGGGAAUUUUGGACAAUGGGCGAAAGCCUGAUCCAGCAAUGCCGCGUGCAGGAUGAAGGCCUUCGGGUUGUAAACUGCUUUUGUACGGAACGAAACGGUCUUUUCUAAUAAAGAAGGCUAAUGACGGUACCGUAAGAAUAAGCACCGGCUAACUACGUGCCAGCAGCCGCGGUAAUACGUAGGGUGCGAGCGUUAAUCGGAAUUACUGGGCGUAAAGCGUGCGCAGGCGGUUAUGUAAGACAGUUGUGAAAUCCCCGGGCUCAACCUGGGAAUUGCAUCUGUGACUGCAUAGCUAGAGUACGGUAGAGGGGGAUGGAAUUCCGCGU